CUGACCGAUAGUGAACCAGUACCGUGAGGGAAAGGCGAAAAGAACCCCGGCGAGGGGAGUGAAAAAGAACCUGAAACCGUGUACGUACAAGCAGUGGGAGCACAGAGCAAUCUGUGUGACUGCGUACCUUUUGUAUAAUGGGUCAGCGACUUAUAUUCUGUAGCAAGGUUAACCGAAUAGGGGAGCCGAAGGGAAACCGAGUCUUAACUGGGCGUUAAGUUGCAGGGUAUAGACCCGAAACCCGGUGAUCUAGCCAUGGGCAGGUUGAAGGUUGGGUAACACUAACUGGAGGACCGAACCGACUAAUGUUGAAAAAUUAGCGGAUGACUUGUGGCUGGGGGUGAAAGGCCAAUCAAACCGGGAGAUAGCUGGUUCUCCCCGAAAGCUAUUUAGGUAGCGCCUCGUGAAUUCAUCUCCGGGGGUAGAGCACUGUUUCGGCAAGGGGGUCAUCCCGACUUACCAACCCGAUGCAAACUGCGAAUACCGGAGAAUGUUAUCACGGGAGACACACGGCGGGUGCUAACGUCCGUCGUGAAGAGGGAAACAACCCAGACCGCCAGCUAAGGUCCCAAAGUCAUGGUUAAGUGGGAAACGAUGUGGGAAGGCCCAGACAGCCAGGAUGUUGGCUUAGAAGCAGCCAUCAUUUAAAGAAAGCGUAAUAGCUCACUGGUCGAGUCGGCCUGCGCGGAAGAUGUAACGGGGCUAAACCAUGCACCGAAGCUGCGGCAGCGACGCUGAUGCGUUGUUGGGUAGGGGAGCGUUCUGUAAGCCUGUGAAGGUGUGCUGUGAGGCAUGCUGGAGGUAUCAGAAGUGCGAAUGCUGACAUAAGUAACGAUAAAGCGGGUGAAAAGCCCGCUCGCCGGAAGACCAAGGGUUCCUGUCCAACGUUAAUCGGGGCAGGGUGAGUCGACCCCUAAGGCGAGGCCGAAAGGCGUAGUCGAUGGGAAACAGGUUAAUAUUCCUGUACUUGGUGUUACUGCGAAGGGGGGACGGAGAAGGCUAUGUUGGCCGGGCGACGGUUGUCCCGGUUUAAGCGUGUAGGCUGGUUUUCCAGGCAAAUCCGGAAAACUAAGGCUGAGGCGUGAUGACGAGGCACUACGGUGCUGAAGCAACAAAUGCCCUGCUUCCAGGAAAAGCCUCUAAGCAUCAGGUAACAUCAAAUCGUACCCCAAACCGACACAGGUGGUCAGGUAGAGAAUACCAAGGCGCUUGAGAGAACUCGGGUGAAGGAACUAGGCAAAAUGGUGCCGUAACUUCGGGAGAAGGCACGCUGAUAUGUAGGUGAAGUCCCUCGCGGAUGGAGCUGAAAUCAGUCGAAGAUACCAGCUGGCUGCAACUGUUUAUUAAAAACACAGCACUGUGCAAACACGAAAGUGGACGUAUACGGUGUGACGCCUGCCCGGUGCCGGAAGGUUAAUUGAUGGGGUCAGCGCAAGCGAAGCUCUUGAUCGAAGCCCCGGUAAACGGCGGCCGUAACUAUAACGGUCCUAAGGUAGCGAAAUUCCUUGUCGGGUAAGUUCCGACCUGCACGAAUGGCGUAAUGAUGGCCAGGCUGUCUCCACCCGAGACUCAGUGAAAUUGAACUCGCUGUGAAGAUGCAGUGUACCCGCGGCAAGACGGAAAGACCCCGUGAACCUUUACUAUAGCUUGACACUGAACAUUGAGCCUUGAUGUGUAGGAUAGGUGGGAGGCUUUGAAGUGUGGACGCCAGUCUGCAUGGAGCCGACCUUGAAAUACCACCCUUUAAUGUUUGAUGUUCUAACGUUGACCCGUAAUCCGGGUUGCGGACAGUGUCUGGUGGGUAGUUUGACUGGGGCGGUCUCCUCCUAAAGAGUAACGGAGGAGCACGAAGGUUGGCUAAUCCUGGUCGGACAUCAGGAGGUUAGUGCAAUGGCAUAAGCCAGCUUGACUGCGAGCGUGACGGCGCGAGCAGGUGCGAAAGCAGGUCAUAGUGAUCCGGUGGUUCUGAAUGGAAGGGCCAUCGCUCAACGGAUAAAAGGUACUCCGGGGAUAACAGGCUGAUACCGCCCAAGAGUUCAUAUCGACGGCGGUGUUUGGCACCUCGAUGUCGGCUCAUCACAUCCUGGGGCUGAAGUAGGUCCCAAGGGUAUGGCUGUUCGCCAUUUAAAGUGGUACGCGAGCUGGGUUUAGAACGUCGUGAGACAGUUCGGUCCCUAUCUGCCGUGGGCGCUGGAGAACUGAGGGGGGCUGCUCCUAGUACGAGAGGACCGGAGUGGACGCAUCACUGGUGUUCGGGUUGUCAUGCCAAUGGCACUGCCCGGUAGCUAAAUGCGGAAGAGAUAAGUGCUGAAAGCAUCUAAGCACGAAACUUGCCCCGAGAUGAGUUCUCCCUGACUCCUUGAGAGUCCUGAAGGAACGUUGAAG
rnacentral:rRNA from 1 species